rnacentral:rRNA from 1 species
UNUGACUUGAGUGCAGAAGGGGAGAGUGGAAUUCCAUGUGUAGCGGUGAAAUGCGUAGAUAUAUGGAGGAACACCAGUGGCGAAAGCGGCUCUCUGGUCUGUCACUGACGCUGAGGCUCGAAAGCGUGGGUAGCGAACAGGAUUAGAUACCCUGGUAGUCCACGCCGUAAACGAUGAGUGCUAGGUGUUAGGCCCUUUCCGGGGCUUAGUGCCGGAGCUAACGCAAUAAGCACUCCGCCUGGGGAGUACGACCGCAAGGUUGAAACUCAAAGGAAUUGACGGGGGCCCGCACAAGCGGUGGAGCAUGUGGUUUAAUUCGAAGCAACGCGAAGAACCUUACCAGGUCUUGACAUCCCGAUGCUAUUCUUAGAGAUAGGAAGUUACUUCGGUACAUCGGAGACAGGUGGUGCAUGGUUGUCGUCAGCUCGUGUCGUGAGAUGUUGGGUUAAGUCCCGCAACGAGCGCAACCCUUAUUGUUAGUUGCCAUCAUUAAGUUGGGCACUCUAGCGAGACUGCCGGUAAUAAACCGGAGGAAGGUGGGGAUGACGUCAAAUCAUCAUGCCCCUUAUGACCUGGGCUACACACGUGCUACAAUGGUCGGUACAACGAGUUGCGAGCCGGUGACGGCAAGCUAAUCUCUGAAAGCCGAUCUCAGUUCGGAUUGGAGGCUGCAACUCGCCUCCAUGAAGUCGGAAUCGCUAGUAAUCGCGGAUCAGCACGCCGCGGUGAAUACGUUCCCGGGCCUNGU